rnacentral:rRNA from 1 species
AGAGUUUGAUCAUGGCUCAGAAUCAACGCUGGCGGCGUGCCUCAGACAUGCAAGUCGAACGAUUAAGACUUCCUUCGGGAAGUGCAUAAAGUGGCGCACGGGUGAGUAACACGUAAGUAAUCUGCCCUUGAGUGGGGAAUAACGUCCGGAAACGGACGCUAAUACCGCAUAACGCAGCGGCACCGCAAGGUGACAGUUGUUAAAGGAGCAAUCCGCUUGAGGAGGAGCUUGCGGCAGAUUAGCUAGUUGGUAAGGUAAUGGCUUACCAAGGCUACGAUCUGUAACCGGUCUAAGAGGACGGUCGGUCACACUGACACUGAAUAACGGGUCAGACUCCUACGGGAGGCAGCAGUCGGGAAUUUUGGGCAAUGGGCGAAAGCCUGACCCAGCAACGCCGCGUGAGGAUGAAGUAUU